CAGCGCCACGAGUGGCAAUCAGAUUUAUUGGGUCUAAAGCGUCCGUAGCCGGUUUGAUAAGUCUUUUGUGAAAUUGUUGUGCUUAACAUAACAACGUGCAAGAGAUACUGUCAGACUUGGAACUGGGAGGGGUUAGAGGUAUUCCUUGGGGAGCGGUAAAAUGCUAUAAUCCUUGGAGGACCACCUGUGGCGAAGGCUUCUAACCAGAACAGCUUCGACGGUGAGGGACGAAAGCUAGGGGAGCAAACCGGAUUAGAUACCCGUGUAGUCC
rnacentral:rRNA from 1 species